rnacentral:rRNA from 1 species
GCGAGUGAAGCGGGAAAAGCUCAAAUUUAAAAUCUGGCGGUCUUUGGCCGUCCGAGUUGUAGUCUGGAGAAGCGUCUUCCGCGUUGGACCGUGUACAAGUCUCUUGGAACAGAGCGUCAUAGAGGGUGAGAAUCCCGUCUUUGACACGGACUACCAAUGCUUUGUGAUGCGCUCUCAAAGAGUCGCGUUGUUUGGGAAUGCAGCGCAAAAUGGGAGGUGAAUUCCUUCUAAAGCUAAAUAUUGGCGAGAGACCGAUAGCGAACAAGUACCGUGAGGGAAAGAUGAAAAGCACUUUGGAAAGAGAGUUAAACAGUACGUGAAAUUGCUAAAAGGGAAACGCUUGAAGUCAGUCGCAUCGUCCGGAACUCAGCCUUGCUUCGGCUUGGUGCAUUUUCCGGUUGAUGGGCCAGCAUCGAUUUUGACCGCUGGAAAAGGGCUGGAGGAAUGUGGCACCCUCGGGUGUGUUAUAGCCUUCAGUCGCAUACAGCGGUUGGGAUCGAGGAACGCAGCGCGCCUUAUGGCUGGGGUUCGCCCACAUUCGCGCUUAGGAUGCUGGCAUAAUGGCUUUAAACGAC